rnacentral:rRNA from 1 species
CAAUAGCGUAUAUUUAAGUUGUUGCAGUUAAAAAGCUCGUAGUUGGAUUUCGGGUGGGACGCAGCGGUCUCGCAUUGCGUUUGUACUGCUGCAGCCCUCCUUCUUGCCGGGGGCGGCCUCUCGGACUUCACUGUCUGGGGGUCAGAAUCGGCGAUGUUAAUUUGAGUAAAUUAGAGUGUUCAAAGCAAGCUUACGCUCUGAAUAUAAUAGCAUGGGAUAACACGACAGGACUCUGGCCUAUCGUGUUGGUCUAUAGGACCAGAGUAAUGAUUAAGAGGGACAGUCGGGGGCAUUCGUAUUCCGUUGUCAGAGGUGAAAUUCUUGGAUUUACGGAAGACGAACAUCUGCGAAAGCAUUUGCCAAGGAUGUUUUCAUUGA